rnacentral:rRNA from 1 species
UGCAAGUCGAACGCGAAAGCGGAGCAAUCCGCAAGUAGAGUGGCGAACGGGUGAGUAAUACAUCGGAACAUUUCCAGUAGCGGGGGAUAACCUGUCGAAAGAUAGGCUAAUACCGCAUACGACCUACGGGUGAAAGCGGAGGACUCUUGGGCAACUGAGGGCUUCGCACUAUUGGAGUGGCCGAUGUCGGAUUAGCUAGUUGGCGGGGUAAAAGCCCACCAAGGCUACGAUCCGUAGCUGGUCUGAGAGGACGAUCAGCCACACUGGAACUGAGACACGGUCCAGACUCCUACGGGAGGCAGCAGUGGGGAAUUUUGGACAAUGGGCGCAAGCCUGAUCCAGCCAUGCCGCGUGAGUGAAGAAGGCCUUCGGGUUGUAAAGCUCUUUCGGUGGGGACGAAACGGUUCGUGCUAAUACCACGGACUAAUGACGGUACCCGAAGAAGAAGCACCGGCUAACUACGUGCCAGCAGCCGCGGUAAUACGUAGGGUGCAGGCGUUAAUCGGAAUUACUGGGCGUAAAGCGUGCGCAGGCGGUUUGCUAAGACAGAUGUGAAAUCCCCGGGCUUAACCUGGGAACUGCGUUUGUAACUGGCAAGCUAGAGUGUGGCAGAGGGGGGUGGAGUUCCAAGUGUAGCAGUGAAAUGCGUAGAUAUUUGGAGGAACACCAAUGGCGAAGGCAGCCCCCUGGGUUAACACUGACGCUCAUGCACGAAAGCGUGGGGAGCAAACAGGAUUAGAUACCCUGGUAGUCCACGCCCUAAACUAUGUCAACUGGUUGUCGGGGAAGCAAUUCCUUGGUAACGAAGCUAACGCGUGAAGUUGACCGCCUGGGGAGUACGGCCGCAA